AACUCGAUCUCAAAUCAAGUAAGACUACCCGCUGAACUUAAGCAUAUCAAUAAGCGGAGGAAAAGAAACUAACAAGGAUUCCCCUAGUAACGGCGAGUGAAGCGGGAUGAGCUCAAAUUUAAAAUCUGGCUGGUUUACUAGUCCGAAUUGUAGUUUAAAGAAGCGUUUUCGGUGGCAGCCUGGGUAUAAAUCCUUUGGAACAGGGUAUCAUAGAGGGUGAGAAUCCCGUCUUUGACUCAGUGCAUGCUACUAUGUGAUACGUUUUCAAAGAGUCGAGUUGUUUGGGAAUGCAGCUCAAAAUGGGUGGUAAAUUUCAUCUAAAGCUAAAUAUUGGCGAGAGACCGAUAGCGAACAAGUACCGUGAGGGAAAGAUGAAAAGAACUUUGAAAAGAGAGUUAAACAGUGCGUGAAAUUGUUGAAAGGGAAACGCUUGACACCAGUCAUGCGAGCGGAAAAUCAGUCUUUUGCAGUGGGGAGUUGUGUGGGUUCGGACCGCAAGGCCGGCCUGCGCUACAUCUCUGCUGUAAGUGAUGCACUUUUUCGUUUGCAGGCCAACAUCAGUUUCUUCUGCUGGACAAAACUCUUGAGAAGGUGGCAGCUUAGGCUGUGUUAUAGCUCUUGAGCGAUACAGUGGAGGGGACUGAGGUUUUCGCAGCGCGUGCUCUCGGGCAAGGCUGAUUGGGUGCUAUGGGAUCGUUCGGUGUACAAUGCAUGCAUUUUGCGCCGUGUCUUUUCUAUACUCGCUCAACUCGGCUCUUCCGCGCUUAGGAUGUUGGCUUAAUGGUUUUAAUCGACCCGUCUUGAAACACGGACCAAGGAGUCUAACAUAUAUGCAAGUGUUUGGGUGGCAAACCCAUGCGCGUAAUGAAAGUGAACGUAGGUGCGAUCCGCAAGGUGCAGCAUCGACCGAUCUUGAUAUUUUUGGGAUAGAUUUGAGUAAGAGCAUAUAUGCUGGG
rnacentral:rRNA from 1 species